UCUGGCUGCUGCCCAUCUCUCUCCAACAGCAGUCGCUGCAAGCCCAUGGCUGUGGAAACUGCUCCACACGGCUGGGGCAAGGGAGGCUUGGGCUGUUCUCAUACUGGGCGGAUCGAACACUGUCAGAUCUAGGCUGAGGUCUGCUCCAAGUCCUGCAUGUACCGGGACCGCCUGGGUACAGAGUUACCUUGUGUGGAAGAGAAACGUGGAGCCCCUUUUGGAAGCAGUGAAAGGCGCCUUCUUCACUUCAUGCUCACACCUCUGGUGCUGUCAUUUUCUACUACUCCUGCUUGGACGCUUUCACCUACCCUACUGCACAACUGUUGCGUGCCGCAUGUCCUGCAGUGCAGCUGCCACUCUGAAGUACAAAAUACCACGUACCUUUGUUAAUUAACACUGGGUACCUGGAGGUGUUAGGACAAACAGGCAAAAACAUGGGUCACUGCAUAUACACUGCCUCCUUCGUGAAGAUCCAUAAACAAUGAGGGCUGUCUUAUAUCCUUUUCUACUUUAUUUGUUUUAAGGAAGCAAUAAUAUUCACUGCAGCUAAAAGUUCUGUCUAAACAUUUACUCUCACAGGGAUUCACACUCUUAAAUCUUAGCAUUAGAUACUCUACA